AGUGAACGCUGGCGGUAGGCCUAACACAUGCAAGUCGAACGGCAGCACAGUAAGAGCUUGCUCUUACGGGUGGCGAGUGGCGGACGGGUGAGGAAUACAUCGGAAUCUACUUUUUCGUGGGGGAUAACGUAGGGAAACUUACGCUAAUACCGCAUACGACCUACGGGUGAAAGCAGGGGAUCUUCGGACCUUUCGCGAUUGAAUGAGCCGAUGUCGGAUUAGCUAGUUGGCGGGGUAAAGGCCACCAAGGCGACGAUCCGUAGCUGGUCUGAGAGGAUGAUCAGCCACACUGGAACUGAGACACGGUCCAGACUCCUACGGGAGGCAGCAGUGGGGAAUAUUGGACAAUGGGCGCAAGCCUGAUCCAGCCAUACCGCGUGGGUGAAGAAGGCCUUCGGGUUGUAAAGCCCUUUUGUUGGGAAAGAAAAGCAGCAGGUUAAUACCCCGCUGUUCUGACGGUACCCAAAGAAUAAGCACCGGCUAACUUCGUG
rnacentral:rRNA from 1 species